GACGAACGCUGGCGGCGUGCUUAACACAUGCAAGUCGAACGGAAAGGCCUGCUUUCCCUUGUGGAUUGCGGGUACUCGAGUGGCGAACGGGUGAGUAACACGUGAGUGAUCUGCCCCCAACUUGGGUAUAAGCCUGGGAAACUGGGUCUAAUUCCCGAUAGGACUGCAGGGUGGUGCCUGUGGUGGAAAACGAUUUUCUAGUGGUUGGGGAUGAGCUCGCGGCCUAUCAGCUUGUUGGUGGGGUAAUGGCCUACCAAGGCGGCGACGGGUAGCCGGCCUGAGAGGGUGGACGGCCACAUUGGGACUGAGAUACGGCCCAGACUCCUACGGGAGGCAGCAGUGGGGAAUAUUGUACAAUGGGCGGAAGCCUGAUGCAGCGACGCCGCGUGGGGGAUGACGGCCUUCGGGUUGUAAACUCCUUUCGACCGCGAGGAAGCCACCUGGUUGGAAGGGUGGUGACGGUAGUGGUAGAAGAAGCACCGGCUAACUACGUG
rnacentral:rRNA from 1 species